GGGGGUGGGAGGGGGGGUCUCCAGAGAAACGAACAUAUGACGUUUCUCGUGGACAAAAUCGAUAUGUGAGGCUUCCCUAGCUAGUGUUGGAAAACAGGUAGCUAUAUAACUGAGCAUGUAGCUAAUUACCUAUUAAUGCCUAUUUAUAUACUAUAUAUAGAUGUAUCCCUUCUAAUUCAUUUUAUAAUUGUUAAGGGAAAUAGAACAUAUGUAAAGCAGCUAAAGCGAGUUUUUAUUAUUUAUGAUCAAGAUUAUUUAUAUCAGACAAGAACAAUAUCGCAUAGUUUUACAUUGCAGUGGACUUUGUUCAACACGGUGACGUCACUGCAUAGGUUCGUUUAUUUUUGCUCCUUUGUGCACGAUGAGAGAGUUGUAUUGUACAAUUCUUAAAUGCUGUGAACUCUGUAGAAGAUGUAACUACUUGAAAAAUACAAAAAGAUGUCGAAAGGUCUUUCCUCGAAAUGUCGAACUCUUUUUGUAUUUUUAGGUAUAGUUGCAUCAUCUACAGUGUUCGCAGGUCCAUCGCUUUAAUUGAAUAUAAUUCCAAUACUUUCAAAUAAGUUUGGAUUAGUCAUUAGGACGGAACCGCAACUACAUAAAUAUAGCAACCUCUGCCAUAUUUCAAGACAUAUCAUAGGGCUAAGAACAAGCGCCUUUCAGUGGGUCGACGGAAAGGGCGAAACGUAGGUCUGAUGAAAAUGUUGUCAAAAUCGCCUUCCGCCCACUUUGCAUUUUGCAAUAAUUAACGAUGAUGAUUGACACAUUUAAGCCUGGUUCACACGAUGAAAUAAGCAUAAGCACAAGCAGCGGAACCUUUGAUGUGCAUAAACGUAAGCAUAAGAAGAACGCAACAUUUGUUCUUCUUAUGCUUACGUUUAUGCACAUCAAAGGUUCCGCUGCUUGUGCUUAUGCUUAUUUCAUCGUGUGAACCAGGCUUUACAUGUAAACACCUAAAAAUGCAAUAAAAGUUGUCGAUUCACUUUAUUGAAAGUUUGUAAACAAAGUAAGAGUCGAUAAGUACAGAUGUUUGAAUAAAUAUUAAAAAUAUUCGUAACCCCAGGCAGUAUAUUGCUUUUAUGUACUCUUAACCCUUGCAAGCAAACAGUUACAGCUAGUAAUAAUACAACAUUUCCAACACAUUCUAUAAAUGCAAUAAAAUCUGCCUACGCAAAUUUGGCAAUGGGCGGGCCGGGACAAGCCAUGUCCCAUUGUUGAAUUGCAUCCAAACUCUUACAAUUUAUACAUUUUGAAACCGCCAUAUAAUGCUAAAAUUUAAAUAAAAUAUAUUUUAUUAUAUUGACAAUGGUGUUUUACUGGAAACUAAAACACUCGUAGAACUCAUACGUCACUACAUCCGGGGCCAGAUGUGCGUAUUUUCCGUAUUUCACCCCUGCUAGACUGCUAGUGACAUACGAAGUUCGAAAAUUUCCCG